UGGGGAAUAUUGGACAAUGGGCGAAAGCCUGAUCCAGCCAUGCCGCGUGUGUGAAGAAGGUCUUCGGGUUGUAAAGCACUUUAAGUUGGGAGGAAGGGCAGUAAGCGAAUACCUUGCUGUUUUGACGUUACCGACAGAAUAAGCACCGGCUAACUCUGUGCCAGCAGCCGCGGUAAUACAGAGGGUGCAAGCGUUAAUCGGAAUUACUGGGCGUAAAGCGCGCGUAGGUGGUUCGUUAAGUUGAAUGUGAAAGCCCCGGGCUCAACCUGGGAACUGCAUCCAAAACUGGCGAGCUAGAGUAGGGCAGAGGGUGGUGGAAUUUCCUGUGUAGCGGUGAAAUGCGUAGAUAUCGGAAGGAACACCAGUGGCGAAGGCGACCACCUGGGCUCAUACUGACGCUGAGGUGCGAAAGCGUGGGGAGCAAACAGG
rnacentral:rRNA from 1 species